CUUGUUACUGGGUUAGUAGCAUCUUCCUUGGCAGGAAGAGAUAGUAGGGUAAUCUUCAUCACUCAAAUCUAUGCGUAAUUGUCCGUCCUUUUGGCUUGUUAUUUACCUGAUGAUGCUGACAUCUCUGCAUACUUUUGCAGUGUAUGCGAAUUUAUAUGUAGUUUAACCUGGAAAUUAAUUAAUUUUCUGUGUGGUGGUGUGAAAAGAGACGUGUAGCAA